rnacentral:snoRNA from 1 species
GAGCAAGAGAGUCAGGUUGAAAAAUAGGCUGCUUCUUGCAUUGAAGGUUGGCGAAAACAAGUACUAAUGGCGAUUCUCCGUGCCUAUCAAAUUAAUUCAGUUUUGAAUAUGGCCUCGAACAAGUCGCUACAUU